rnacentral:rRNA from 1 species
GAACGCGCAGGGUUAGGACCA